rnacentral:rRNA from 1 species
AGUAACGCGUGAGGAACCUGCCUCAAAGAGGGGGACAACAGUUGGAAACGACUGCUAAUACCGCAUAAGCCCACAGCUCGGCAUCGAGCAGAGGGAAAAGGAGUGAUCCGCUUUGGGAUGGCCUCGCGUCCGAUUAGCUAGUUGGUGAGGUAAUGGCCCACCAAGGCGACGAUCGGUAGCCGGACUGAGAGGUUGAACGGCCACAUUGGGACUGAGACACGGCCCAG